GUGCCAGCAGCCGCGGUAAUACGUAGGGGGCGAGCGUUGUCCGAAGUUACUGGGCGUAAAGCGCGCGUAGGCGGCCCUUUAAGUCUGGGGUGAAAGGUCCAGCGCUCAACGCGGACAGUGCCCUGGAUACUGGGGGGCUUGAGUGUGGGAGGGGAGAGCGGAAUUCCGGGUGUAGCGGUGAAAUGCGUAGAUAUCCGGAGGAACACCGAUGGCGAAGGCAGCUCUCUGGCCUGACACUGACGCUGAGGUGCGAAAGCGUGGGGAGCGAACGGGAUUAGAUACCCCGGUAGUCC
rnacentral:rRNA from 1 species